rnacentral:lncRNA from 1 species
GUGGCUGCCCAACGCCCCAUCCGGCUGCUGACUCUGCACACUCGUGUUGGUCACUGCCUGUUUGGUCAUCUUACUGGAACACACUGUGUCUAGUUGGGAGUCGCCCUGGGGCGUGCUUCAUGACCUGGGGAAACACGGCGUUUCCAGUGUCUCUGGCAGACUUCCCUGGGCUGCUGCGGUGUGUGGCGCUCAGCCGGGCUGGCGUCCCCCAUUGCUGGGCUCUGAGGUGCAGUCCACUGGUCCGCUGAGGCCCGGGAGUGGGCAGGCAGAGGCUGAUAAGCAGGGUGGCCCUAUCGGCCCCAGCGGGAGGCCCGGGAGGUAUCUGCAGGGCCAGGUGCCAGCCUCGUGCAUGCCCCGGGUGACACCCAGCGCCCUGUCACCCUCACUAGACAGCCCCAACCUGCUGCUUGGAGCCUGCUUGGUGUUUACAUCUCCAGGGGACAGACAGGUGACUCAGCAGGAGCAGCAGCGGGGCGGGGGGGCACACACCCACUGGCUCUAGAGUGGAGAGACGGAAGACAGGGGGUGGCCCACCGGGUCCUAGGGAAGACCAUGUGGCUUUGGGUCCAGGAGGCCACCAGUCCGCUCUCUGGACCCUGCCUUGAUUUCCCCAGCUGUGGAGUGGGCACGGGCAGCCCCCACAGGACGCUGGGAAGGCUCAGGGAUCACGGAUGGGGAUCCCCAAGCAGUGCUCGAUGGACAGCGGUUUUCCUGAGUCCUGGGAGACUGAGGACAGCGCAGGCCCAGGGAUGAGGCUGAGGCAGAGGCUGUGUCUGACAAGGCCAAAGGUCCUGGUCCACCUGCGGGAACCACAGGGCCCAAGUGGCACUUUCUCACCUCCCCUCUGCUGCCUGCUCUGCUAUUCCUGCUGGCUGUGGGGCUGGGGCUCCACCCAACACCACACAAGGCUCCACUGAGUGCCACCUGACUGGUCCUGUUGUCCUGUGACACCCUGGGGGUAGGGGACCACAGUUAUUAACCCAUUUACAGUUGAACUGACCAUGGCUCAGCUCAUCACCCAGGGGAUCAGCUCUACCUAAUCCGUGCAGGGAAGAAACCGAGGCUCAGACAGAGUGGGAACAAGGCACCCCCUCCCUGGCUGUUCCUCCUUCCUUCUGUUGCCUGGAACUUGGACACGAUGGUUGGAGCUCCCGUGGCCAUCUGGGUCCAUGAGAUGACUUUGAGGAAGGAAACGAUGUUUUAAGAUUGUACUUGGGAAGAUAAGAGCCUGCGUUCCUGAUGCCACACCGCUCUCACCCAAGCCCUGGGCUGUGCACCUCAGAAUUC